rnacentral:lncRNA from 1 species
AGAGAUCAAUGGUAAAAAAAAAGAAGAGAAAGAGAUCAAAAUUAAAAAAAAAUUAUGGAUUCAAGGAAUUCUUAUAAAUUACGAAAUUCUAUCUUCGUUCGUUUGAAUUCUUGAUUCGAUAUGAAAAUAUUCCUUUAUUCCAAAAAUUCUUCUUUCAUAUUUGAAUUCUAAACUUUGCUUAUGAAUGAAGUAUAUUUCACGUAUCUUUAAAUUAGCCUAUCUUUUAAUUUCUUUUAUAUCUGUCUAAUUUUACUACCCUCAAAUUAUCAUAAUUUAAAUUAUUUAUUUAUGUACAUUAGUUAAUCUAAGAAUAGAACAAAACAAAAAAGGUAAAAAACAAGAGUGGUGAGAUCAAUAUCGAGAUCGAUCAAAAAUUGUGUCAAACACAAGUGGAAUAAAUCAAAUCUUAAGUGAACCACAUGAAGAAGUAUUUGUGAGGUUAUUCUAACUUUGUUUUUCUAAACAUGUCUAAAGAUUAAAAAAAUAAAUUAUUCAUCAAAUAAUUCUUGCAUCAACAAUUUUAACAUAUGUUCAAAGUGAUGGGAGAUGUAAAAGAUCAUCUAAAAAGACAUGAUGUUACAAUUAAUAGAUUGUAAGGUGAAUCAUAACAUAUGAGAGAAUCAUCCUUUGUUGAUAAUGAAGAUGAUGGUGGAGAUGACAUUACAAUAAUUGAUCAAGAUGUUAAUCCUAGGAGACAAACUAAGAGAAGACAUUUUGAUGGUGUGGAUAAAAUCAUAAGCGGCAACAAAAUGAAAAUUUCAUCUUUUCAAUAGAAAAAUAAUCCAGAUGCAUAUUUAAAGUGGGAACAAAAAAGUGAAGUUAAUCUUUGAAUAUCACAACUACUUCAAAGAGAAAGAUACAAUUAAUCGUUGUUGAAUUUUUUAAUUAUGUUACUAUUUGAUGGGAUUAAUUAUGUAAAGACAAACGUAGAAAUGAUAAAAAGCCCAUAGAGAUUUGGUUGGAGAUAAAACAAAUCAUAAGGAGAUUUGUCUCUAGCUAUUACUAUAGGGAUUGGCAACAAUAUGUAGAGAUUAAGGACAUGGUGAAUGUACCCACAAAGAUUGAGAGGCAACUCAAAAUAAAAGGCACAAGGUAUGAUUCAAAACCUUAUUCUGGUUCUUGAAAAUCACACUAAAGUAAAAAUGAUGAUAAACCCAUUAAUUAUUAAACCUAAAAUUAAUAAAACUAAAAAUAAAAAUAAAUCAAACAACAAAGACAAAAUUGAAUCAAUUAGGUAAGAAUCAACGUAAUCAAACUAGAGGCAUUAAAUGUUUCAAGUGCCUUGGGUAUGAACAUGUGACACGUUAAUAUCCUAAUAAAAGAGUUAUAAUUAUGAAUGAUAAAAUUAUGAAAUCUGAAAGUGAGAGAAGAUGAUGAUGACAUUCCAUGUAUAAUAUACUAAAGGUGAAAAUCUAAUUGUUCAAUGCACACUUAGUAAUUAAAAUGAUGAAAAUCUUUUUCAUACUUAUUAUUUGAUUACUAACAAAUUAUGCAAUAUGAUUGUUGAUAAAGGAAGUUGAACAAAUGUGACAAGCACCUUGCUCGUGGAGAAGCUAAAAUUACCUAUUAUCGAACAUCUAAAACCUUACAAAAUACAAUGAUUGAUUGAUAAUGUACUAGUCUCUCUUUUAAUAUCUUAUGAUUUCUAGUCAAAUUUAGAAUGUUAUUUCAUUGUAUUAAAGCUUUUCUCCUCAUCUAUCUUUUAAUGCAUUAUUAUGUUUUUAUUUAUGUUGUUAAUGGGUAUAUGCUAUGAUAUGAAAUUGGAUAUUAAUUGGAAUGAAAUUGCUCACAGGCCAGGCCCAACCCACGGGUCAGGCCUUGGCCCGUAGGCUGCCCCAGCCCAACCAUUAUGGGUGGUCACAUGCGACACACAUGACUAGUCCAUGGGCCAGGGCUGGGCUAUUUUUGUGUAAUGCAUGCUCAAUCAUGUAUAAUGCACAUGACCAGUAGAUGGACUGACUCAAUGUAGCCCAAUAUUAUUGUUGAACUUGAGCUCAAAUAUUGAUUGAACUAAACUAGACUUGAUUAGUCUAUAUCAAUUCAGGGUGAUUCCGAAUUGAUUGACUUGUUCAAGUUGGUUUAACCUAAAUUGAACUUAAUCUAGUCUAAAUUAUACUAGUCUAGGGUGGUUCCAAACCAGUUAAAUAAGGAUUAGAGAUCAGUUCAGUUAGGCUCUAGUAAAUCGAGUUCAAUUGAAUCGAUUAAACUAGAGUUCAAGUCAAUUGAGGGCUAAUUUAUAUUAUUUGAUAUUGAUGAUAUUUGAAAGAGACAUUUUAAAUAUGUUAUUUCAUCCCAAAAUGGGCAUGACCAAUGUGAGAUUAUAUUAUUUUCCUACCGAGAGCAGGUAGGCCGAUUCCCUUCGGGGAUUAGCGAGUCGUCAGACGUGGCGGCUAGACGGUUCCUCCAUCCGCUGUUGGGAGGAAUGUAUCCCCACUUUGGCGGGUGUGGGACACCACUCCAUCCGCUGUUGGGAGAACACAAACUCAUCCCAUAGGAUAAAGCCUCUCCAUCCGUUGUUGGGAGAGUGCUCCUUCAAGUAUUUGAUAUACGCUAAUGGGAUGAUUGAUUGAAUUUUGAUUAUGUAUAUAUUUUGAGUUGACUUUUGGGGUUCCUACUCAGCGUUGCUGAAUUUUCUUUGUUUUUGAUUUUCAGAGCAGCCUCCCUCUAGUACUAAAUCGGAUUCCAAUGGAGAGCGGACCUUCCUCUACCGCUAGGCAGAGCCCCUUGGAUGAUUCUUGAAGUUAACAUCACUAUGUUUACUUUUUUUAUUUAUGAUUCGAUGAAUAAAUGGAUUGUAAUAAAUAAAUUAUAAUAAAUAUUUAUGAAUGAUGAAUAAAGUGAUGUUUAUCUUGACCUAAAUGUGUGAAAAAAUAUAUAUAAUAAUAAUAAUAAUAAUCCAGGAUGUGACAUCUUUUAUGGUAUCAAAGCAUGAUCUAGGGCCUGUAGGUGUAUUAGGUCCCUUGAUUGACUCUAACCGAUGAUUGCCUUUAACAUAUUAUAGGAGUAAUGGAGCCAAUAACAAAGAUUAGUGGUCUUAUCACUCGAGGUACUUAUGGUCGCAAUGCUAUUGGUCUACGCUCUCGGAGAGGUGUUCAAACAAAUAAUAACUUGGAAGCUCCACGCAUCGUAGAGCAAACCCAGUCCUCCCGUACACCUGUCACUAAUUAUGGGCCAACUUCUCCGACUUCGCAGAAUGCCCCUCAUGCCCCAGCACCCGUCAAUGCUCAAGAUGACGUACACGAAGUCCUCAAUGCUAUUAGAGGAUUGAGCGUCAGGAGGAACGAGAUGAAAUUCCACGGGGUAGGAAUAAUACUUUAGAUCACUUUAAGAGAUUGGGACCACCAAUUUUUGAGGGCAAGCCAGAUCCAUUCUUUGCUGAACGUUGGAUUCGUCAAGUGGAAAAGACAUUCGAAGCUAUCGAAUGUAAGGAAAAUCAAAAAGUGCCUUUCGCUUCUUUCAUUUUGGAAGGGAAGGCAGACACUUGGUGGACCUCAAAAAGGAGGAUAUUAGAGGCUGGAGGUAAUGUGGCAACUUGGAAGCAGUUUAAAGAUGCAUUUUAUGAGCAGUUCUUUCCAGAUUCAGUUCGCUUUGAGAAACAACAAGAGUUCCUCAACAUCCACCAAGGAAAUAGAACUGUAAUGAAAUAUGAUCAUCAUUUCACUGAGUUGGCUCAGUUCUCUCCAUAUAUUGGUUUUAAUGAAAGUCAAAGAGCUCGUCAUUUUUAAAGGGGACUUCGAUCAUCAAUUAGAAAGUCUGUUGCAGUACUGAUUUUACCAAUAUAUGUUGAAGUGUUAAAUCAAGCUUUAGUGGUAGAGAAAUUGGAUAAUGAAUUACAACAAGCAAAGGAUUGAAAGUGACAUUUUAGUGCUACACCAUUUACGUAUGGGGGAUCACAUUCUGGACCCUCAAAGAAAGGAAAAGGCAAACAGUUUGGGCAUCAACAAGCAAGAGCUCUUAGCAAUCAAGUUGUUAUAAGAUGUUAUUUCCGUGGGAAGACAUAUCAUAUUUCCACCUCAUGCCCCAUGGGACAACGCGUAUGUUUUUAUUGUCAACAACCGGGGCACAUGUCGAAGGAUUGCCCAUGGAAGCAACAUCAACUCCGAGCUCCACCCCAAACAACUGGACAACAACAGCUACGACCCAGAGAGGAAGGACAGGCAAGAGUCUAUGCACUGACUCAUCAAGAUGUUGAAGCCUCGGGAUCUAUUAUUAAAGGUAUCAUCACACUCUAAGGUAUGCCAGCAUCUGUGCUUAUUGAUUUUGGUUCUACACAUUCUUUUAUAUCACCCUAUUUUGCUAUGAAAUUACAUAAAUAUCGUGAGACAAUGAAUAAUGCAUUAAUGGUAGUAACACCGGUUGGAAACUCUUUGAUAGUUGAUCAGAUAUAUAGAAACUGUGUUAUUACUAUUGAAAGUCACGAUUUGCUAGUAGAUCUUAUUCUACUAGAAUUUCAAGAUUUUGACGCUAUCUUGGGUAUGGACUGGCUUUCAGCAUACCAUGCAAGUGUCAAUUGUUUUCGGAAGACUGUUACUUUCUCACCUCUAGAUCAACCACCUUUCAAGUUCAUUGGGAUUCAAGAAAAGUUUCCUUCUAUUAUUUUAGCCUACCCAACUAUUACUGAAGGGAUGUCAAGGAUACUUGGCCUUCAUUUCUAGAGAAGAAUCUAAGAAGCCAGUAUUAAAGGACAUCCUUAUUGUGCGGGAUUUUCUAGAUGUUUUUCCUGAAAAUCUACUUGCACUACUACCAAAUAGACAGAUUGAAUUUACAAUUGAUCUUCUACCUGGUACUACACCUAUUUUUAAACCUCCGUAUAGAAUGGCACCAAUUGAGUUGGAGGAGUUAAAGAAACAUAUUCAAGAGCUUUUGGACAAGGGUUUUAUUCGACCCAGUGUAUCACCUUGGGGUGCCCCUGUCCUAUUUGUGAAGAAGAAAGAUGGAUCUAUGCGAUAAUGCAUCGAUUAUAGACAGCUCAACCAAGUGACCAUAAAGAAUAAAUAUCCUCUUCCCCGAAUAGAUGACAUGUUUGAUCAACUUCAAGGUACUCAAGUAUACUCAAAGAUUGAUUUGAGAUCCGGGUAUCAUCAACUGAAGAUAAGGGAAGGAGACAUACAAAAAACUACCUUUAGAACAAGAUAUGGUCAUUAUGAAUUCUUAGUAAUACCUUUUGGACUCACGAAUGUACCAGCUGCCUUCAUGGACCUCAUGAAUAUGGUGUUCCACCCUUAUCUUGAUAAAUUUGUAAUUGUGUUCAUUGAUGAUAUCCUAAUCUACUCCAAAAGCAUAGCAGAGCAUGAACAACAUCUUAAGAUAGUUCUGACAGUCCUAAGGCAAGAGAAACUAUAUGCCAAGUUAAGCAAGUGUAACUUCUGGCUCAAUAAAAUUAUGUUUCUCGGUCAUGUAAUUUCGAGUGCUGGUAUAUCUGUUGACCCUCACAAGAUUGAAGCUGUGAUAAAAUGGAAGCAGCCUUCUAAUGUUUCAAAGAUUAGAAGCUUCUUGGAUUUGGCUGGAUACUAUAGAAGAUUCGUAGAAGGCUUUUCAAAAAUAGCAGCACCAUUGACCAAGUUGACACAAAAGAACAUAAAAUUCAUGUGGGAUGAUAAAUGUCAACAAAAUUUUCAAGAAUUGAAGAAGAAAUUAACUAGUGCUCCUAUCUUGGUGAUUCCUUCAGGUGGAGAAGGUUUUAUAGUGUAUAGUGAUGCCUCACUACAAAGGCUUGGUUGCGUUCUAAUGCAAAACGAGAGGGUAGUUGCUUAUGCUUCGAGGCAAUUAAAGCCUCAUGAAAAGAACUAUCCUACUCAUGACUUAGAGCUAGCAGCUAUCAUUUUUGCACUAAAAAUUUGGAGGCAUUAUCUCUAUAGACAAACUUUCAAAAUCUUCACAAAUUAUAAGAGUCUCAAAUAUAUUUUCACACAAAAAGAUUUGAAUAUGAGACAAAGAAGAUGGUUGGACUUUCUAAAGGAUUAUGAUUUUAAUAUCAACUACCAUCCUAGGAAAGCUAAUGUAAUUGCUGAUGCCUAAAGCAGAAAUACCUAUAGUCUUGUAGCCUAUAUAAAUAUUCAAAGGAAUUCUAUGAUAACGGAGUUAGCAGACUUAAAACUUAAACUUUUAUCGGAGACAAAUAAAGGUUUUCUUAUGUGUUUGAUGGCACAAUCAUUUUUAGUGGAAAAGGUUAAAGAAGAUCAAAAGGAAGAUACAUAUCUUAAAAUGAUAGUUAAGGAAAUAGCUCUAAGGAUCUAGACCUGAAUUCCUCCAAACUGAAGAUGGUCUAUUACAUUCCACAAUCGACUCUAUGUUCCCGAAAGCCAUCCAGUAAAUAUACAAUUAUUAGAGGAGGCACAUAGAUCAAAAUUUAAUAUCUAUCUCGGGACUACUAAGAUGUAUCGAGAUUUAUGCCAAAACUAUUGGUGGCGUGGUAUGAAGAGAGAUAUAGCAGAGUUUGUUUCUAAAUGUCUGAUAUGUCAACAGGUGAAGAUAGAACAUCGAAUACCUGCGAGAAAGUCGCAAAAGAUUUCGAUUCCUGGAUGGAAGUAGGAGCAAGUCACUAUGGAUUUUGUGAUAGGAUUACCCAAGACUGUGAAAGGAUAUGACGAAAUUUGGGUAAUAGUAGAUAGACUUACUAAAUCUGCUCACUUCCUUCCUAUUAACAAGAAGUAUUCAUUGGAUAAACUAACAAGCUUAUAUAUUAAGAAAAUCAUUCGAUAUCAUGGGGUGCCAGUUAGCAUUAUCUCAAAUAGAGAUCCAAGAUUCACCUCUAAAUUUUGGGGAAGUCUACAAAAAUCUUUGGGCACGCAAUUAAAAUUUAGUACAGCUUUUCACCCCCAAACUGAUGGCCAAUCUGAAAGGACAAUACAAACUCUUGAAGAUCUCUUAAGAGCAUGUGCGUUAGACUUUGGUGGGAGUUGGGAUAUGCACUUGCAUCUAAUUGAGUUUUCUUAUAAUAAUAGUUACCACUCUAGCAUAUAGAUGACUCCAUUUGAAGCUCUUUAUGGAAGAAAGUGCAGAUCACCUGUAUAUUUGGAUGAGGUGGGAGAACGGAAGCUUUUGGGGCCUCAAUUAAUUCAAAAAGAUGCUGAUAAUAUUCGAAUUAUACGCCAAAGAUUAUUAACAGCUCAAAGUCGUCAGAAAAGUUAUGCAGAUCGAAGACGAAGAGAUCUAGAAUUCGAAAUUGUUUAGCAUGUCUUCUUAAAGGUGUCGCCAACCAAGGGAGUUAUGAGGUUUAGUCAAAGGGGAAAGUUAGCCCCAAGAUUUAUUGGCCCAUUUGAGAUCUUACAAAAGGUUGGCCAUGUAGCAUACAGAUUGGCAUUGCCCCCGGCUUUGGCUAGCAUCCAUGAUGUAUUCCACGUGUCAAUGCUUCGAAGAUAUAUCAGGGAUCCAUCACAUGUCAUAUCUUACCAACCUCUACAACUACGAGAUGAUGCCACUUUUAGAGAACAACCAACCCAGAUCUUGGAAAGGAAAGAACAUGUUCUAAGGAACAAAAUUAUACCUUUGGUAAAGAUUUGUUGACAACACCAUUCAGACCAAGAGGCACCGUGGAAAAGAGAAAAAGAUCAAGAGCAGUAUCCUCAUCUAUUCUAUUAAGGUAAGCUAAAUUUGGGGACCAAAUUUCCUAUAGGAGGGGAGAAAUUUAAUCAAAUCAAAUAUUUAAGUUAGGAAUUGAUUUUAUUUCCUUAUUUGUUAUUAUAAUUUAAGGAAAUCUUAAACUACUUCCUUGUUUGUUGAUAUGAAUUAAGAAAAUAACUAUUAAGUAUUCCAAAUAUGAUGAUAUCAUAUUUGUUAGUAUAUUAAAUAAAAAUAAUUUAUAUUAAAUAAAUAUAAAAAUUAAAAUAAAUUUCCCUUAAUAGAGGCUCACCUCCUAUUUAAAAGGGAGGGAUUCUCUCCUUCGUUCCUCACCUAGUCGAGUCUGGCAGCAGGAGAAACGAGGAGUUACACCCUGUUAACAAGAGGACGAAAAGUUACACCCUAUUGAUAAGAGGUAGGUUUCCCUACCUUUCUUAAAUUUAAAAGUUUUAACUUCUAUUUUGAUUCUUUAAAUGUUGAAAGUUUUAUAGUUUAAAAAAUGUAUCAAUUCUUUAAAUGUCAAAAUUUUUGUAUUAAAAUAAUCAGUUAAAGUUGUCAUAAUAUUCUUUGACCCAUGAUUAAGGUUUUUAUUAUAUAAUUAAAUAUGUUAAAAAGGCAUAUGUUUUAUAUGAUAUAUUUUAUGUAUUAUAGUUUAUCUUUAAUCAUGUUUGGAUUAAAAUCUUGUUAGACUAGAAUAUGUUAUCUAAAAUCAUUUUUUGAUAUUCUUUGUUCUAAAAUUUAAAAUAUAUUAUUCUGAAUGAUUUAAAAUAUGACUAGAAUAUGUUGAAAUUUUAUAUGUAUUGAAAGCAUGAUUUUUAUUUGAAUUUAAAAGGCUAUUUCCUUGUAUUAAAACUUAUCUCCUAGUCCCUCUUUUAAUACAUUAUUAUGUUUUUAUUUAUGUUAUUAAUAGGUAUAUGCUAUGAUAUGAAAUUGAAUAUUAAUUGGAAUGAAAUUGCUCACAGGCCAAGCUCAACCCACGGGUCAAGCCUUGGCCCGUAGGCUAUCCCAGCCCAACCAUUAUGGGUGGUCAUAUGCGACGCACAUGACUAGUCCAUGGGCCAGGGCUUGGCUAGUUUUGUGUAAUGCAUGCUCAAUCAUGUAUAAUGCACAUGACCAGUAGAUGGAUUAGUUCAAUCUAGCCCAAUAUUAUUAUUGAACUUGAGCUCAAAUAUUAAUUGAACUAAACUAAACUUAAUUAGUCUAAAUCAAUUUAGGGUGAUUCCUAAUUGAUUGACUUAUUCAAGUUGGUUUAACCUAAAUUUAACUUAAUCUAAUCUAAAUUAUAUUAGUCUAGGAUGAUUCCAGACCAAUUAAAUAAGGAUUAGAGAUCAGUUCAGUUAGACUCUAGUAAAUCAAGUUCAAUUGAAUCGAUUAAACUAGAAUUCAAAUCAAUUGAGGACUAAUUUAUAUUAUUUGAUAUUAAUAAUAUUUGAAAAAACAUUUUAAAUAUUAUUUUAUCCCAAAAUUGACAUGACCAGUGUGAGAUUAUAUUAUUUUCCUGCCGAGAGCAGGUAGGGCGAUUCCCUUCGGGGAUUAACGGGCCGUCAGACGUGGCGACUGAAUGGUUCUUCCAUCCGCUGUUGAGAGAUAUGAAUUUCGAGGAGUGCUCCUUCGGGUACUUGAUAUACGCUAAUGUGUGAAAAAAUAUAUAAAAAUAUAAUAAUAAUAAUCCAGGAUGUGACAAAUGUAGUACCUAUGUAUGCUAGUUAUAUAUUAGAAAAACCUUGGCAAUAUGAUUAAAGGAUAAUAUAUGAUCAAUUCAAGAACCAUUAUUCUUUGAUCAUAGAUAGGCAAAAAUAUCAGCUUCA